rnacentral:rRNA from 1 species
AGGGAGCCUGAGAAACGGCUACCAUAUCCAAGGAAA